rnacentral:lncRNA from 1 species
UGUUCCCUUUUCUUCGCAACCUCACCAGUGUCUUAUUUUUUGACUUUUUAAUAGUAGCCAUUCUGACAGGUGUGAGACAGCAUUGUUAUGGUUAUGACUCACAUUUCAAUUUUCAACUCCUUUGGGUAAAUACCAAGGAGGAUGAUGGCUGGAUUGUAUGGUAAGAGUAUGUUGAGUUUUGUAAGAAAUUGUCAAAAUAUCUUCCAAAGUAACUGUACCAUUUUGUAUUUUCACCGGCAAUAAAUGAGACUUACUGUUAUUUCACAUCCUAACCAGCAUUUAGUGUUGUCAGUGUUUUGGAAUUUUGCCAUUCGAAUAGGUGUGUAGUGGUAUCUCAUUAUUUUAAUUUGGAAUUCCCUAAUGACAUACACUGUUGUGCAUCUUUUCAUAUAGUUAUUUGUAAUCCAUGUAUCCUCUUUAGUGAGGUGUCUGUUCAGAUCUUUUGCCCAUUGUUUAACUGGGUUGUUCAUUUUCUUGUUGAAUUUUAAGAGUUCUCUGUAUAGUUUUGAUAACAACCUUUAUCAAAUAUGUCUCUUUUUCUAGAUUGCAUGUAGUCUUUUUUUUUUUCUUUUUUAAAUUUUAGAUUCAAGGGGUAUAUGUGCAUGUUUGUUACAUGGGUAUUACAUGUAUAAUGGUGAGUGUUGGGCUUGUAGUAUACCCAUCACCAAAACACUGGGCAUUGUAUCCAGUAGGAAUUUUUCAACCCUCAGCUCCUCCCCACUAUCUCCACAGUCUCCAGGGUCUAUUUUCUCCAUCUUUACAUCCAUGUGUGCCAUUUGUUUAGCUCCCACUGGCAAACAAUUUAUUUCAGUAUGUGGCUUCUCUUCCUCUCAGUAUAAUUCAUAGCACUUAUUUCUUAUUAUGUUUCCUAUAAUAUUAGACUGUGGGCUUCUUAUGAGCAAGGACUAUGUCACAUUCUUCCUCAGUUUUUUAGCUCAGUGUUUGGCGCAUAUUAUGAUUAAAUAAUGUUUAAUUAAUGAAUGACUGUGUUUGCAAAGUGAGUCAUCUACUCUCUUGAUACUCAAAAGAUGGCCCUCAAAUCAGUAACAUGGGAAUCCUUUGGGAGCUUGUUAGUAUGUAGAAUCUCAGCCUUCACAUGCUAAAUAAGUAUCGACAUUUUAGCAAGAUCUUCAGAUAAUCAGUAUGCACUUUGAUGUUUGUGAAUCUUGUGUUCCACUUAACCUUUAUGAACCCAUCUUUCCCCACCCAAAGUCAGGUGUGGUAGGACUCCAAGUCACAUUUAUAGGAUAGACUAAUUUAGAAAGUUCUAUUUUAGGCAGAAACAGGAAAGGCCACAAAGUAAAAAUGACAAGUGAGAGAGCACAGUACUAUUUUAUAGAAGUUUUGCUAAACCUGAGAACAUGAGAACUGAAAGUCCUGUGCUAGAAAUCAACUUACAGUUUCAAAAAUAAGUUCUGUGGGUUAAUCUUUAAAAUCAGGCCCUUAUUUUGAAGUUGGUCAGGUGAAACAUUCCAUGGCAAUUGUUUUAUCUGCACCCAAUUUAUAACCACCUAUUAGCACCUACCAGUUUGCUAGGUUCUGAGGUUAGUAUGGUUGAGAAAGAUUUCAUUCCUGCCUGACACUGCUUAUGGUAUAGAUGAAGAAGUAGAAGUUAAACAAAAAAUUAUAAUCUCAUUGUUGAAUUCUGUUGUGGAGAUAGGUGCAAAAUGUUGUGAAAACACCAUCGAAUAUUAAGUUUCUUGAGUAUAAGAACUAUGUAUAUUGUUCACUGUAGUAGAGUUCAUGUUUCUGAGACUGAGGGUUUUGAGGGAACCCUAAAUAAUCACAUUCUUCUGGCUCUACAGAUUGUUAGCCAACUGAAAAAUGGAAGAGUCAGAUUGGGGAUAAUAUUAAUAAUAAAGAUGGAUUGACAAGCACAGCUUGGGCCCCAAACCAAAAUGUGUUUCCUACCCAUUCCCCCAUCUAAACUUGCUUGACUUUGGGACCCCUUUAUAGGAGAGUUAUGUCUACAGAAAGAUACCUAGCCAGUCAUGUGGGGAAUGUCAGCCUGCUUCAAGUUUCCUUGAUUGCAGAUGAGGGUCAGAGAUAUAACUACAACCUCCUUGCCUUUGAUGCAAGACGUUCUUUCAGAGGUUAAUGUGGUUAAAAGGGUGAGAAGCUCUGCCCAUCACACCAGUAUGUUAAAUCAAUCCUCUUUCUGUAAGGAGAAGCCUGCAAGAGGGCAGAUCAUAGGAGGACCUUAUAUCAAAGCUAAAGUGAGAACAUGAGGAAAGAGAAACAAUGACUUUUUCCUAGAUUGGGAAUAUGCUCCCUGCCCCUGGAGAAGCAUCGAUAUGUUGGAAAAACAGGAGAAACAGUGACAAAGUCAAAGAAAGAAGAGACUCAAGGACUUAGGAAUAAACCAUUGAACCAAAAUUGCAGUUAAGGAUUUUCAUAUAUGCUAGAAGAGAAUGUGAUUCUUUUCUGCAAUUUGACAAGGUUAGUGAUCUGCAAAAUGUCCUGGGAGGAGAGCAUCUUCUUAGAUAAAAAUGAUGCACAUAUAAAUAUGUGUAGAAAUUCUUCAACCAUACUGAAAUUGACUGCAUUGCAAGAACAUUGAACCCAGUUUAUAGCCAUAUGAGAUGAUUUUUCAGAAUGCAGCCUAUUAAAAAUGUUCCUUUAAUGUGUUUCUACAUAGCCAUAUGAGAUGAUUUUUCAGGAUGAAGCCUAUGAAAAAUGUUCCUUUAAUGUGUUUCUACACGGCAACCAUGGAAAACAAACAUGCUUUACUAUUCUGAGAAUACAAUAGAAGAUAAAUAUCUUUCAGAGAGUGCAAAUAGCACCCUCUGAAGUUCUGGGCCUUGAAACUUUUAGGAAUAAUAUCCAGAGAAGGAAUGUUAAAGCUAGAAGAUCAACUGGGCUCAUCUGGUUCAUGCUUCUCAUGCAACAGACAAGAGAGCCAAGGCUAGCUAGGCUUAAGAGAUCGUGACUGCUGCAGAAACAAAUUAUUCUAUAUCGUAUACUAUGCUACCUUUUUUCCCCAGCAGGCAAUUAAUUAAUGUGGAUGAGAAUCAUAAAAAGACUCUGAAAAACUUUUGUAAAGUUGAGGAAGGAGUGGAAAAAGAAAAUAUAGAAGAGGGAAACAAUAAGGAAGUGAUACUAGGAAAGUAAAUCCAUUCUGUUUUCAGAUUAAUUAAACUUAAAAGAGAAAAAUUGUGUCGUAGUUUUCCCCUACUCAUAUCUCUUGUCUCUGUUUUGAGACACUUAUAAUUAUCAUAAUUUAUUAAAAGCAUAAAAGUCUUUGUCUAUUUUUUGCUGUUAUAACUGAAUA